CAGGAAUGACCACACUGUUUUGAAAUGCAAAGUGAAUAACAGUGAUGACUCUUGUGUUCAGCUACUUUCAGCGAUUCCUCCAAAAAAACAGACUCCUGUACCCAUCAUAAAUGACUUUGCAGCAUCACCAUCUCAGAAAGAAAACAACUUGAACUGGGAGAGACAAAGAAAACAUGCUGAGGACUACAAAAAACCUGGCCACGCCAAGAGAGACUUUCGCUAUAUCCAUGUACCAGCUCUGUCUCUUGUAUACUGGAAAAGAUUGGGAAGAAAAGGAUUUAUGGGAUAUGAUGAAAACAAAAAGCUAUACAAAGCCAGGGGGAUAAAUCCAUUAUGCUUAGGAAUAACAUUAGACUUAUGUGCUAAAGUAAAAAUAAAUUGCAAAUGCAAAGAAUAAAUACAGAUGAUAACAACAUGCAAGAUAAAGAAGAUGUAUUAAUUGUUAAAAGAUGUAGAGAACAAAGUACUAAUUGAAGUAUCCAAUUAAUGACAUUAUAAGGCUAAACAGUUGAUAUCCAGAUCCACAUUGCUAACAAAUGUUUUCCCAGAUGACAAAUACUGUAAUUGAUCUUUGCUUUAUAUAUUUAAGUAUUCAAACAGAAGAAAUAUUUGUAUGUUUUUAUGAAAUUAAACAAUAUACAAUUUGGUAUAGGAACAAAGAGGCUUUCAAAAUAAUGAGGGAAUAUAUAUUCAAUGUACUGGACAAGUGGAGUUAAUUUCUGCUACAAUAUCAUUAAAUUAAUUGGCAAUCAUAAAAGAUUAAACUUAUAUAAAAAUGAAUGAUAAUUUUAUUAAUGGUAACAACACAGCAGAUUUGGAGGCUAAAGAAGCCUCAGAAUGCCAUACAGAAGUAGUGCUUCUAUAGUGUUAAUACAAAAGCCUUACUUAGAAGAUAGAAGGGAAAAAAAGAACACGCUGGAUGUUAGGAAUAUUUUGUGGCACCUAAAGGGGAACAAAGAAAGACAUUCAAGACAUCUAAUGUACACAUUGGGGAUAAAUCAUUCUAUAGUACAGUAAAAUGUUACCUUUCCAGAUGGGUGGUUUUAAGUUCAAAUUAAAAACUGAGAUAUAAAAUAACUAAUUAAAAUUAAAGAUUAAAAAGAGGAAAAAUUGGUAUUAUUCUCCAUAUGUGAAAAAAUGGUCUCAAUAUUUGAGUACAUUUAUGGUUGAGUUUCUGUUCGACAGGUAAAGUUUGUGCCAAGAGUAAUGAUAAAAAAAAAAAUAAUGAUAGAAGACGUAAUCCCUAGAUUUGAAAUACUAUUAGGAAUCAUUUUAUAUGAUGGAUCAGCAUUCAUUUAAAAAACAAAAAACAAAGUGAAUACUGCAACAAUAAAGAACAAAGAAAAGACUAAGAUGUGUUUACCAUCCUUAAUCAUAAAAAGUAUACCAUCCCUUCAACGUCAAACUCAGCAAAAAAAAUGUGAAAGCAUGAAACUGAACUGACUGGAUGCUUUGUCUCUUGCAAUAACGAGUGACAGACUGCAAACUAACACUGCAUGGAAUGCUUAUUGGUCGACCAAUGCCAAUACCAAUGUCUGCGCAAUACUAUAUAACAAAAAUUCAUCCCCAAAAAGGACUUCCUCUGGAACGACUGCAGAUGGAGCUUUUGGAACAAUUACAAAUAAAGAUGAGAUCUUAUGUGAUAAAACUAACUGUAUGCAUAAGCUAUUUGUGUGCAGGAAAAAAGAAAAGGAGCCUGAUGAGGAGAUGGAGAUAAAAUGCCAUAUUAUGCCAUGGGAUCUAGUGUAUCUGAGGGUCUUCAGGAGAGAGUGACAUAAAACAAGGACCAGGGAGAGCAGCCCUAACAGCAGGCCAGGGGGAAGGAGCACAUCUGAUGUCAUCUGAGCCAUUGCACAGAGUUCCUAAAAUACCAGUCGGAGAAGAGGACAACAAAAACACGAUACUGAAGAGGAGAGCUGGGGAGAAAAGGAGAACCAAAAACACGAUAAUGAAGAGGAGAGCUGAGGAAAAGAAAAUAAUAAAAGACAUGAUACAGAAGACAACAACAGAAAAAUUAAAAGCAAUUCAAGCCUACAAAGAGAUAAAAGAACUAAGUACUGACCACUCAGGGCAUAUCAAGCAAUGGCAACAAAGUUAAGAAAAAUAUGUAAAUGAGAAGAGACUUUCAGGAGCAACAACCAAUGAGUGCAAAGCAGUGGAGUUCACAAGCAAUACACAGAGACAAAGUUGCUGGUAAUGUGUAAAGGACACACAAAGAAAACGUCAAGGAAUUAGCCAUGAAAAUUGAAAAAUAAAGCUAAUAACCAGUUUGACAAUUAUCAGCAACAUGUGGUAAAUUCACACGACUACAGUCAAUAAUCAAACUUCUCUUCAAUUAACUUUUCACCUAUCAGCAAGGAUCAGUAACACUUCAGCGAGGACCAGUAACACCAGUGAGAAUGUAAUCUACAAUAAUCUCAGGAAGAACAAAAUCUAGAUAAAAUACUGAAGAUACCAAAACAAAAAGGAGACAAGGACAUCAAUAGAAGAAAAAGGAC